UAAACUUUAUGGUCAAGCUACUAAGAGCAUACAGGGGAUGCCUAGGCGCGGAAAGGCGAUGAAGGACGCGGCCAGCUGCGAUAAGCCCCGGGUAGUCGUUAAACAGACUUUGAUCCGGGGAUGUCCGAAUGGGGAAACCCAUCCCGGUGAAGCCGGGAUAUCCUCAUCUGAAUCCAUAGGGUGAGGAAGCGAACCCAGGGAAGUGAACCAUCUCAGUACCUGGAGGAAAAGAAAGCAACCGCGAUUCCCCCAGUAGCGGCGAGCGAACGGGGA
rnacentral:rRNA from 1 species